GGGGAGAUGGCAGAGUGGCCGAAUGCUGCUGACUUCUAAUCAGCUAGACCUUAAGUGGUCUCAUGGGUUCGAAUCCCAUUCUCUUCG
rnacentral:tRNA from 3 species